UACAGAGGGGGCAAGCGUUGUUCGGAAUUACUGGGCGUAAAGGGCGCGUAGGCGGCCGACUAAGUCAGACGUGAAAUCCCAUGGCUCAACCAUGGAACUGCGUCUGAUACUGGAUGGCUUGAGUUCGGGAGAGGGAAGUGGAAUUCCAGGUGUAGCGGUGAAAUGCGUAGAUAUCUGGAGGAACACCGGUGGCGAAGGCGGCUUCCUGGACCGACACUGACGCUGAGGCGCGAAAGCGUGGGGAGCAAACAGG
rnacentral:rRNA from 1 species